rfam:Triticum aestivum genome assembly, contig: Triticum_aestivum_CS42_TGACv1_scaffold_030924_1BL
CAUAUACUCCCUCCAUCCGGAAAUACUUGUAGUAGAAAUGGAUACAAAUGGAUGUAUCUAAAACUAAAAUACAUCUAGAUACAUCCAUUCCUCGGACAAGUAUUUUCGGAUGGAGGGAGUAUAUA